rnacentral:rRNA from 1 species
CGCGUAGGCGGCCCUUUAAGUCAGAUGUGAAAUCCCGGGGCUUAACCCCGGAAGUGCAUUUGAAACUAUUGGGCUUGAGUAUGGGAGAGGGAAGCGGAAUUCCUGGUGUAGAGGUGAAAUUCGUAGAUAUCAGGAGGAACAUCGGUGGCGAAGGCGGCUUCCUGGACCAAUACUGACGCUGAGGCGCGAAGGCGUGGGUAGCAAACAGGAUUAGAUACCCUGGUAGUCC